rnacentral:rRNA from 1 species
CGCGGCGGCGUUGCUUAACACAUGCAAGUCGAAACGAUGAACUCACUUGUGGGGGAUUAGUGCGAACGGGUGAGUAACACGUGAGUAACCUGCCCUUAACUCUUGGGAUAAGCCUGGGAAACCUGGGUCUAAUACCUGGAUAUGGACUUUGCCUCGCAUGGGGUUUGGUUGAAAGAUUUAUUGUUUUGGAUGGACUCGCGGCCUAUCAGCUUGUUGUGAGGUAAUGGCUUACCAAGGCGACGACGGGUAGCCGGCCUGAGAGGGUGACCGGCCACACUGGGACUGAGACACGGCCCAGACUCCUACGGGAGGCAGCAGUGGGGAAUAUUGCACAAUGGGCGAAAGCCUGAUGCAGCGACGCCGCGUGAGGGAUGACGGCCUUCGGGUUGUAAACCUCUUUCAGUAGGGAACAAGGCCAUCACUUGUGGUGGUUGAGGGUACUUGCAGAAGAAGCGCCGGCUAACUACGUGCCAGCAGCCGCGGUAAUACGUAGGGCGCAGCGUUAUCCGGAAUUAUUGGGCGUAAAGAGCUCGUAGGCGGUUUGUCGCGUCUGCCGUGAAAGUCCGGGGCUCAACUCCGGAUCUGCGGUGGGUACGGGCAGACUAGAGUGAUGUAGGGGAGACUGGAAUUCCUGGUGUAGCGGUGAAAUGCGCAGAUAUCAGGAGGAACACCGAUGGCGAAGGCAGGUCUCUGGGCAUUAACUGACGCUGAGGAGCGAAAGCAUGGGGAGCGAACAGGAUUAGAUACCCUGGUAGUCCAUGCCGUAAACGUUGGGCACUAGGUGUGGGGGACAUUCCACGUUUUCCGCGCCGUAGCUAACGCAUUAAGUGCCCCGCCUGGGGAGUACGGCCGCAAGGCUAAAACUCAAAGGAAUUGACGGGGGCCCGCACAAGCGGCGGAGCAUGCGGAUUAAUUCGAUGCAACGCGAAGAACCUUACCAAGGCUUGACAUGAACUGGAAACACUUGGAAACAAGUGCCCCGCUUGCGGUCGGUUUACAGGUGGUGCAUGGUUGUCGUCAGCUCGUGUCGUGAGAUGUUGGGUUAAGUCCCGCAACGAGCGCAACCCUCGGUUCUAUGUUGCCAGCACGUUAUGGUGGGGACUCAUAGGAGACUGCCGGGGUCAACUCGGAGGAAGGUGAGGACGACGUCCAAUCNUCAUUGCCCCUUAUGUCUUGGGCUUCACGCAUUUGCUUACAAAUUGGGCCCGGUACAAAAUGGGGGUUUGCGAUAACUGGUGCAGGUGGGAAGCUUAUUCCC